rnacentral:rRNA from 1 species
CCCUUAGACGUUCUGGGCCGCACGCGCGCUACACUGACGAAGGCAACGAGCUUUCCUUUACCGAAAGGUACGGGUAAUCUUUUGAAACUUCGUCGUGCUGGGGAUAGAUCCUUGCAAUUUUUGAUCUUAAACGAGGAAUGCCUAGUAAGCGCAAGUCAUCAACUUGCGUUGAUUACGUCCCUGCCCUUUGUACACACCGCCCGUCGCUACUACCGAUUGAAUGGUUUAGUGAGGCCUUCGGAUCCGCGACUCGUUUGUGGGGAAGUUGGACAAACUCAGUCAUUUAGAGGAAGUAAAAGUCGUAACA